rnacentral:rRNA from 1 species
UACGUAGGGUGCAAGCGUUGUCCGGAAUUAUUGGGCGUAAAGAGCUCGUAGGCGGCUUGUCGCGUCGAAUGUGAAAACUCGGGGCUCAACUCCGAGCUUGCAUUCGAUACGGGCAGACUAGAGUUCGGUAGGGGAGUCUGGAAUUCCUGGUGUAGCGGUGAAAUUCGUAGAUAUCGAGAGGAACACCGGUGGCGAAGGCGGCCAACUGGACGAAUACUGACGCUGAGACACGAAAGCGUGGGGAGCAAACAGG